rnacentral:rRNA from 1 species
GACGAACGCUGGCGGCGUGCUUAACACAUGCACGUCGAACGAAGUGGCGAACGGGUGAGUAACGCGUAAUCAACCUGCCCUUCAGAGGGGGACAACAGUUGAAAACGACUGCUAAUACCGCAUACUGAAGGAGGGGAUUGCGUCUGAUUAGCUAGUUGGGGGGGGAACGGCCCACCAAGGCGAUGAUCAGUAGCCGGUCUGAGAGGAUGAACCGCCACAUUGGGACUGAGACACGGCCCAGGAUCCGACGGGAGGCAGCAGUGGGGAAUCUUCCGCAAUGGACGAAAGUCUGACGGAGCAACGCCGCGUGGGUGAUGACGGCCUUCGGGUUUUAAAGCUCUGUUAAUCGGGACGCGGUACCGGAAUAGAAAGCCACGGCUAACUACGUGCCAGCAGCCGCGGUAAUUC